rnacentral:rRNA from 1 species
CUCAGGAUGAACGCUAGCUACAGGCUUAACACAUGCAAGUCGAGGGGCAGCAUGGUCUUAGCUUGCUAAGGCCGAUGGCGACCGGCGCACGGGUGAGUAACACGUAUCCAACCUGCCGUCUACUCUUGGACAGCCUUCUGAAAGGAAGAUUAAUACAAGAUGGCAUCAUGAGUCCGCAUGUUCACAUGAUUAAAGGUAUUCCGGUAGACGAUGGGGAUGCGUUCCAUUAGAUAGUAGGCGGGGUAACGGCCCACCUAGUCUUCGAUGGAUAGGGGUUCUGAGAGGAAGGUCCCCCACAUUGGAACUGAGACACGGUCCAAACUCCUACGGGAGGCAGCAGUGAGGAAUAUUGGUCAAUGGGCGAGAGCCUGAACCAGCCAAGUAGCGUGAAGGAUGACUGCCCUAUGGGUUGUAAACUUCUUUUAUAAAGGAAUAAAGUCGGGUAUGGAUACCCGUUUGCAUGUACUUUAUGAAUAAGGAUCGGCUAACUCCGUGCCAGCAGCCGCGGUAAUACGGAGGAUCCGAGCGUUAUCCGGAUUUAUUGGGUUUAAAGGGAGCGUAGAUGGACGUUUAAGUCAGUUGUGAAAGUUUGCGGCUCAACCGUAAAAUUGCAGUUGAUACUGGAUAUCUUGAGUGCAGUUGAGGCAGGCGGAAUUCGUGGUGUAGCGGUGAAAUGCUUAGAUAUCACGAAGAACUCCGAUUGCGAAGGCAGCCUGCUAAGCUGCAACUGACAUUGAGGCUCGAAAGUGUGGGUAUCAAACAGGAUUAGAUACCCUGGUAGUCCACACGGUAAACGAUGAAUACUCGCUGUUUGCGAUAUACUGCAAGCGGCCAAGCGAAAGCGUUAAGUAUUCCACCUGGGGAGUACGCCGGCAACGGUGAAACUCAAAGGAAUUGACGGGGGCCCGCACAAGCGGAGGAACAUGUGGUUUAAUUCGAUGAUACGCGAGGAACCUUACCCGGGCUUAAAUUGCAGAUGAAUUACGGUGAAAGCCGUAAGCCGCAAGGCAUCUGUGAAGGUGCUGCAUGGUUGUCGUCAGCUCGUGCCGUGAGGUGUCGGCUUAAGUGCCAUAACGAGCGCAACCCUUGUUGUCAGUUACUAACAGGUUCCGCUGAGGACUCUGACAAGACUGCCAUCGUAAGAUGUGAGGAAGGUGGGGAUGACGUCAAAUCAGCACGGCCCUUACGUCCGGGGCUACACACGUGUUACAAUGGGGGGUACAGAGGGCCGCUACCACGCGAGUGGAUGCCAAUCCCCAAAACCUCUCUCAGUUCGGACUGGAGUCUGCAACCCGACUCCACGAAGCUGGAUUCGCUAGUAAUCGCGCAUCAGCCACGGCGCGGUGAAUACGUUCCCGGGCCUUGUACACACCGCCCGUCAAGCCAUGGGAGCCGGGGGUACCUGAAGUGCGUAACCGCGAGGAGCGCCCUAGGGUAAAACUGGUGACUGGGGCUAAGUCGUA